UACGUAGGGGGCGAGCGUUGUCCGGAUUUAUUGGGCGUAAAGACCUCGUAGGCGGUUCGAUAAGUCGGACGUGAAAUCUCCACGCUCAACGUGGAGGGGCCGUUCGAUACUGUCGUGACUCGAGUCCGGUAGGGGAGUGUGGAAUUCCCGGUGUAGCGGUGAAAUGCGCAGAGAUCGGGAGGAACACCCGUAGCGAAGGCGGCACUCUGGGCCGGUACUGACGCUGAGGAGCGAAAGCGUGGGGAGCAAACAGG
rnacentral:rRNA from 1 species